CUCCAGAAAAAGCAAGUUUGCAUCUUGAAGAUCGUUCUGAAUUAGUACAGCAGUAAUAAUGCAGAGAGUUUUAUUUGUCUAUUUAUGUGUUAUUAGCGCAUUUGUUUUUAUAGAAGCAAGGCCUAGGUGCAGAAACAACAGCUGUAAUCGUGGUGGAGGCCAAUAUGGUGAUACUCAAGAACAAUAUAAUAGCCAAUACGGAUACAAGAGCCAAUCAGGAUAUGGAGUAGACUCAUACAAUAAUGGUGGUGGACAAAGUGAAUAUAGUAGUGGAG
rnacentral:misc_RNA from 1 species